AUGUCAUUAUGGGGUAUUUGUGAUGUCAUUAUGGGGUAUUGUUUUAUCAUUAUGGGGUAUUGUGUUGUCAUUAUGGGGUAUUGUGAUGUCAUUAUGGGGUAUUGUGAUGUCAUUAUGGGGUAUUGUUUUAUCAUUAUGGGGUAUUGUGUUGUCAUUAUGGGGUAUUGUGAUGUCAUUAUGGGGUAUUGUGAUGUCAUUAUGGGGUAUUGUGUUGUCAUUAUAGGGUAUUGUGAUGUCAUUAUAGGUAUUGUGAUGUCAUUAUGGGGUAUUGUGUUGUCAUUAUAGGGUAUUGUGAUGUCAUUAUAGGGCAUUGUGAUGCAUUAUAGGGUAUUGUGAUGCAUUAUAGGGUAUUGUGAUGUCAUUAUAGGGUAUUGUGAUGUCACUAUAGGGUAUUGUGAUAGGCUAUUGUGAUGUCAUUAUAGGGUAUUGUGACGUCAUUAUGGGGCAUUGUGAUGUCAUUAUGGGGUAUUGUGAUGUCAUUAUGGGGCAUUGUGAUGCAUUAUAGGGUAUUGUGAUGCAUUAUAGGGUAUUGUGAUGUCAUUAUAGGGUAUUGUGAUAGGCUAUUGUGAUGUCAUUAUAGGGUAUUGUGACGUCAUUAUGGGGCAUUGUGUUGUCAUUAUGGGGUAUUGUGAUGUCAUUAUGGGGCAUUGUGAUGUCAUUAUGGGGUAUUGUGAUGUCAUUAUAAGGUAUUGUGUGUAGAUUGACGAGGAUUUUGCAAGCAACAGACACCAAGGAAACACAACUUCUGGCAACAACAAAAAUAAAAAAACAACAACAAAAAUAGAAAAUCCAAACAAGAAUUAAUAGACGAUCAACAUUCAUUGGACUCCCCAAUUACUGACCAUUUAGGAAACUUCAAGCAUGCUGAUCUGAUGACAUCCUAUAAUGAGAUGCUCACAUUCACUAGCGCAACAUUUCAAUUGGCUAUAUGAAAACUGAUCCUGAGUGUAGGUUAUUUCCCUGACAUCUGGAAUCAAGGACUCAAUAACCCAAAUCUUUAAGAACGGAGACAAAUUUGACCCUAACAAUUACAGAGGCAUUUGUGGUGAACAGUAACCUGGGGAAGGUUUUCUGUAGUAUUAUAAGAGUGGGCUUCCCGAGUGGCGUAGCGGUCUAAGGCAUCGCAGUGUUUUCACUACAGCUCAGCGUUCGAUAACAGGUUGUGUUACAGCCGGCCGUGACUAGGAGACCCAUGAGGCGGCCCACAAUUGGCCCAGCGUCGUUCCGGGUUAGGGGAGGGUUUGGCCGACCGAGAUUUCCCAUCGAGCUCUAGUAACUCCCUGUGGGUGGCCGGGUGACUGCAAGCUGACUCCGGUCGUCAGUUGGAUGGUGUUUCCUCCGUUUCCUUGGUGCGUCUAGCUUCCGGGUUAAGAGAGCAGUGUGUCAAGAAGCAGUGCGGCUUGGCAGGGUCGUGUUUCAGAGGAUACAUGGCUCUCGUCCGUCACCUCUCCCCCUAGACCGUAGGAGAGUUGCAGCGAUGGGACAAGACUGUAACUACCAAUUGGAUACCUCGAAAAAAUAGGUGUUUUUUAAAAUUUAAUUGUAAGAGUUAUAAACUUCCUUAAUAAGCACAAUGUCUUGAUUAAAAGCAAGAUUGGAUUUAUACCAAUACAUAGCACGAUCAAUCAUAUUUACACACUACAAUAUUACCAAAAUGCACUCUUGCUUUAUCGACAGCAUUUGAUUUUAUUUGGCAUACAGGACUGUUCUACAAAGUUAUUGAAAGUGGUGUAGGGGGUAA
rnacentral:lncRNA from 1 species